GAGUUUGAUCGUGGCUCAGGAUAAACGCUGGCGGCGCACAUAAGACAUGCAAGUCGAACGAACUUAAUUUUAAUAUUUAUAUUAAAAAGCGGUUAGUGGCGGACUGGUGAGUAACGCGUAAGCAAUCUGCCUAUCAGAGGGGAAUAACAGUGAGAAAUCAUUGCUAAUACCGCAUAUGCCAUAAGAAUCACAUGAUUCUAGUGGGAAAGGAGCAAUCCACUGAUAGAUGAGCUUGCGUCUGAUUAGCUAGUUGGUGGGAUAACGGCCUACCAAGGCGACGAUCAGUAGCCGGACUGAGAGGUUGAACGGCCACAUUGGGACUGAGAUACGGCCCAGACUCCUACGGGAGGCAGCAGUCGGGAAUAUUGCGCAAUGGAGGAAACUCUGACGCAGUGACGCCGCGUAUAGGAAGAAGGUUUUCGGAUUGUAAACUAUUGUCGUUAGGGAAGAUAAAAGACAGUACCUAAGGAGGAAGCUCCGGCUAACUACGUGCCAGCCGCCGCGGU
rnacentral:rRNA from 1 species